GACGAACGCGGCGGCGUGCCUAAUACAUGCAAGUAGAACGCUGAAGGAGGAGCUUGCUUCUCUGGAUGAGUUGCGAACGGGUGAGUAACGCGUAGGUAACCUGCCUGGUAGCGGGGGAUAACUAUUGGAAAGAUAGCUAAUACCGCAUAAGAGUAGAUGUUGCAUGACAUUUGCUUAAAAGGUGCAAUUGCAUCACUACCAGAUGGACCUGCGUUGUAUUGCUAGUUGGUGAGGUAACGGCUCACCAAGGCAACGAUACAUAGCCGACCUGAGAGGGUGAUCGGCCACACUGGGACUGAGACACGGCCCAGACUCCUACGGGAGGCAGCAGUAGGGAAUCUUCGGCAAUGGACGGAAGUCUGACCGAGCAACGCCGCGUGAGUGAAGAAGGUUUUCGGAUCGUAAAGCUCUGUUGUAAGAGGAGAACGAGUGUGAGAGUGGAAAGUUCACACUGUGACG
rnacentral:rRNA from 1 species